UAAAGGAGGAGGAACAAGCGCGGCUUCAGCCUUUCGUGGGUACAGUUGCGCCGAGCGUCUCGGGGGCGCCGUCUGGGCGGGAGCCGGGGCUUCGGAGCCGUCACGUUUCCAGGACCGCCCGCGCCUGCUGCUGAUAGAAUGAGCUCCUUGUGUGAAGGCUGUGAUUAUCCGGGAUGUGUUUGCAGGAUGGUGGGAGACUUACUGCAUGGACCCUGAAGCAGGGGGGCCCAGACCAGGUGGAUCUGGGCCUGGUGGGCUGUGAGGCCUGCAGGUGGAGAGAUGACCUUCAUCUGUGCGGCGUCGCGGCAGGAGCCACCAUCAGAGAGGCUGCGCGACGCCCAGAAAAGCAAAAUUGAGUCUGAAAGGCAAGUAAAACUCAAAGGCUGUUUUUUCCCUUCUCCAUCUUCCGUUGCAAAGUCAGAAUUUUGAGCACUCUAAGUUGCUAAGUUUGUGUUCUGUAUGUAGGAGCAAAGAGAUUUUUUCAAAUUUAUUUCUUUUGAGAGAAGGUGUCCAAAGGAGAGGGGCAGAGACACAGAAUACCAUGCAGGGUCUGUUAUGUGGUUGCAGAGUCCAAGGUGGGGCUUGAACUCGCCGACUUUGAGGUCAGGACCUGAGCCAGAUCUGGGGUUAGGUGCUUAACAGACUGAGCCCUACAGGCGCCCCACAGAGACUUCCCUUGAAGGCAAUGCAUAAAUCCAACCACCUGCAAGGCGCGAGUGAGGAAUU